AGUUCCGAGGUGUCAUCAUGUCAGAUUGCAAAUCUGAAGAAGCAGAUUAGUCGUCUGCCGGGGCUU
rnacentral:tRNA from 1 species